rnacentral:lncRNA from 1 species
AAAGAAGGAACGAGGUGGUGGGUUAUAUAGGUGGUUGAGGCCUGAGGGAGAGGAGUUUAGUGAGAGAGAGAGAGAGAGAGAUACAGACAGAGGGCAGAAGAGUGACAAGGAUGAGGAAGAAGGUAUGGCCACAGAGACGCGUGGCAGCAUAAGAUUAGGGAUCAGCAUGCAAAGGGGGUUAUGUGGCGGCUUCAUAGUUCAUGGCUUUGGCUAUGUGUUUCUUUGUCACAGGUGUUUUGGACUGAUGCUAUUUGCUGUACAGCUUGUACUUGGAGAUAAGCCAAGGCUAUCAAAGGAUAAACUGCAUAUAUGGAUUGGUUGGAUUCUGUUCAGUGGAAAGCUAACCAACGAAACCGAGUUCCCCAAAAUCAUGUUCGACUCCUACAGAAGUAAUCAUUUACCGGCUGGUAGAAUCUAGAGUGACAAAAUUGGUCAUAGCUUUUAAACAUUGCUACUUAAAACUAUAUAGGUAGAAGUAUAAUAUGUCAAAAUGACGAAACACUCCAUUGAUACUUCAUUAUACACAGAAAUGUUUUCCUAAUGAUUUGGAGAUUAGAAACUAGAUACAAUUAGCACUAGCAACUCUGUAACCAUCAAGAAACGAAAUAGCAGGCAUUGCAACAUCGAUACUGCUACAGUCUGAACCAGGAAGCUGAACAUCUUAUACGAUAAGUUCAUCUUCAAGAUAGUUGUAUUCAAAGGUA